UGCAGCUGGAAGGCCCAGAAGUGCUUGCCUACUCUGCCAAAGCCAACCUGGAUCUCAUCUGCGACAAAGACCCCUCCAGCCCUGUGGAUGUGCCUGUGGUGGAGGACAGAUGGCCAUCGGGGCUUUGGUGCUGCCCACCUACUUACUCUGCUACUUGGGAGAAGUAACCAGCAGGGGGAAUGAUCUGCCCUCCCACGCUGGGCAGAGACUCCAUGAAGAAGGCUGCAAUCUGUGGAUGAGACACACAUUGGGAACAUCACCAUGCAACUCGGUGUGCCCUGCUGAUGCUGGCUCAGCAUCAGGACCAGAUGCCAUCACUGCUGUACCCUCCUUUGGAGCCCAGAGGAGCCCAUGUCACAUCUGAUGGUUUGAGACUCGGGUUUUCUUUUAGGUUUCAAACCAACACUUACAUAUGGAUGCCUCCGUCCCCUUGUUCUUGGUGUGUCCCUAACUAUAAAUUCACUGGUAUGCCUGUUCCUUCCUUCUCCUCUCUGGUGACCAGUACCAAUCUCAUCCCUCCUGCCUUGGACAAAUAGGGUCCCAUUCUUGAUUGCUCCCUCCCUCAUCUAAUCAGUCAUGCAGACAUGGAUUCUACUUCAGUAACAUCUCUGAACUCACUACUUCCUCUAUGACAUGCCUGCCUCCCAGAGGACUUGCCUGUUUCUGCCUUGGCUUCAUCGUUGUCAUCUACUCAACUGGACACUUCUACAGUGUCUCUCUCACAAGACCACAGGGGUGACACUACAAGCCAGAAGGUUGAACUCUUUGCUGUCCUGCUUAAAACCCUUUACUGACCCCUCUGCUCACAGCCAUGAUUUCCCAACUGUGUUCUGCCUGGGAACUGCUUCAGAGGCCAUUGGUAGGAUGUGGGGAGGGCUGAUUGGGAAACUGAUCCUCUACCUCUGCUGCAAACAGCAAUGUUCUUUUCAGGUUUUAUGGAAGUGGCUGCAAGCAUCUGAAAUCUACAGGUCAGACUUUCUUGGUCUGGUCCUGCUAACCCUUCUGGUCCCACAGCCCACCGUUCUUUGCCAUGUAUCCUGUGUUUAACUCUGUCACUCCUUCAGUGAAGUAUUCCAGAAAGUCUUCACCCCAGUCACCAAAACUGCCCUUUGUGGGUGCUGUUCUGGGUCAUAGCACAUUUCGCCUGUUUCUGCCUGUCCACUCCAUUUCCACUAUACUGCCCUGGUCAGGCUUCCCCAUUGCUCACUUAGAACCAACACAGCCUCCUCAAGAUCCCUCCUCUAAGGAUAUCCCAUUCACAUCCAUCCCACACAGCUGGGAUGGAUGAGAGAACAGCUCAGCCCUGUUAUCACUCUCCCUCUUAAAGCCCUUCACUGACACUCAUGGUCUCCAGUGCAGAGUUCCAGGCACUCAGCACAGCAUUGGGAUCCCCUGGCAGAUGGGUCCUGUCUGCCUCUUCAGGCCCACCUGUCUCCACACCCACAGUUCCUCACCUCUGCAUAGGCUAUCCUGUUUAGGAGGCCCUUCUUCCCCUGCUCCCCGCCUUGAGUAGCUAAUUCCUAUUCACCUUUUACUAUUGCAGUCAGGUACCUUCUGCAAGGACCUGCCUUCGUGCCCACAUAAGUCCUCCCUGGGCCUUGGAUGCCUAUAACAUCUAGGAUGUUCUCACCAAAAUUCUUGGCUGGGCACCUAUUAGUCCCACCUCAUGCACACACUAAAUUCCAAGAGGGCAGGGCCUCAUUCUGCUUUCCCUCUAGGCAUCCAGCACAGCGCAGGUAACAGUGGUGGUGACAUUCACUGGACUGUUGAGGGUGUGGUUACCUUCCUGCCCUUCUCCUGUGCAUUGCUGACAACACGUUUCACUUCAUUGGCAUAGGCCACAGCUGGAUUGGGAUGGUCCUCUCGGUAAGGGCCCCGGUAGGUGUCUGGGAGAGGUGCCUGUAGGGAGUACAAGCACUGUGUCAUUCUGGCUUUGGGGUGGGCACCAACCUGUUGCCAUUGUGGGUAGUGCAUACCACAUGGACCCACUCCUUCUGGCCAUCCAGGUACCGGAACUUGUAUGGACUGAUGUCAAUCAGGGAGCUCAGGUGACCGUGAUAAGCACUGGGGAGAAAAAGGGAGGGCUCAGGCCCCAGUAGCACCUUCUUAUGAUCUAACCCUGACCACUGUCUAUCCACUGCCAAAGGCAACACAAAGGCCCCCAGCUCUUGGGCUGGGAACAAGCAUGGGCCUUGUAGUAAGACUUCCUACAAGGCCACUAACUGGCCAUGUCAAAAUACUGAUUGCUUAAUCUCUCUGGGUCCAAUUAUCUCCUCUGUGAAGUGUGUUUGUGGUGUCUCCUUCAGGGUAUAAUGUAUCUUAAUUGGGCUAAUGCUCUAAGCCCAGGCCUGGGUCUUCUGCACAUCAGAUACUCAAUAUAUAGGAGCUACAGGUGGAACAGUUUGAAUAUCUAAAUGAAGGACUUUCAAUUCCUUACAAAGCAUGUCCUCCUCCCCAGGAGCUGCCCUCCCGGGACAGUGGCCUGAUUAGAUAGAGUCCCUGGGAGGUAUCUUUGGGGCGCAGUCCUGUGCCUAUCAUGUUUCAAGGUUUUCAUCCUCUGUCUAAGGUAGCCAAGGUCAAAGUCUUAUUGAUCCUCAAUAAGCCUAUGGGCCUGGAAGUGGCAGGCAGGGCUAUGAGUUUCACUUACUGGUCUAAUACCACCACGUCCUGGUGUCCCGUGUAUUGGCGAGCCAGCCGCAGGGCCAGGUCAUUGGCUUCUGACCUAUAACAGUAAAGGUGGGCAUGGCUUGGACAGUCACUCAAAGGUUCUCCACAGAGAAACCAUGUGAACAGAGGAACCCUUCCAGCAGCAAGAAGAUUCUUGGACUUCAUUCAUUUAGUCAUUUGUUUGAUAGACAUAAAGUGCCUCCUAUAUGCUCAGCCCUGUUAUCACCCUCCCUCUUAAAGCCCUUCAGUGACACUCUGGGGUAAAAAGAGUAGGUAAAACAGGAGGCCCUGGCCUCCUUGAAACUUACAUUCUGAUGUGCAUGAAAGCCAAAAAAACAAAGAGUGAUCAUUUUUGUAAGUGCUAGCUGUGGGUCCAGCGUACUAAGGGAGAAUCGGAUGGGUGCUACUUUAAAUAACAGUGUGUUAGAGGUUGAACUGUGUUGCUCCAAAAUUGUUAUGUUGAAGCUCUAACUCCCAGUGUCUUAUAUGUGACUUUAUGUGGAAAUAAAGCUUUUGAAGAGGUAGGGUAAAAGAAGGGCUUCAGUAUAUCCUGAUCCAAUCUGACUGGUGUCCUUAGAAGGAGAGGAAAUCUGGAUGCACAGAGACAUCAGGGAUGUUUCCACACAGAUGAAAGGCCAUAUGAGGGCACAAGAAGGAGACAGCUCUCUGUGAGUCAAGGAGAGAGGCUUCAGAAGAAACCAAUCCUACUGACACCUUGAUCUUGGACUUUUUGCUUCUUAGAAAUAUGAUAUAGUACACUUCAUUGCUGAAGUCCCCUAGUCUGACAUUUUGUUAUGGCCACCCUAGCUAGGGUCAAGGGUGGCUCUUUAAGGAGGUAACACCUGAGUCUUGAGAGAGACCAUUCCAGGCAGAGGGAACAGCAUGCACAAAGACCCUGAUGGAGGCAGGAACUUGUGUCAGAGAAGCAAGAGAAGACAAGCAAGGCCAGAGCCUAGGGAGGGCAAACCAGGAGAAGUGCAGAGUGCUGCAGGGGCCACAUUCACAGGGCUGGGAAGGAGCCUGGGUUUUCUUUUCAGUGUCAACAAAGCCAAUGAGGAGUUUUAAUCAGAGAAAGCACAUGAUUCAAAUCCCAUUUUAGGAGGCAGUCUGUAGCUAUGUGUCAAAAGGGAAUGAAAGCAGAAGUGAGGAGACCUAGGAGGUCCAGGUGAGAGCAGGGGAUGGGGAAGUGCUUGGAGUAAAGGGAUUUUUUGGAGACAGACAAGAUGGGACUGAAGCAGAAAUGCAUGUAUUUCAUUUCUGCCUUGAGCAGAGAUGUGGAUAGUGAUGCCAUUUAUGAGGUGAGCUGAUGUGAGGAUGGCAGUGGUGGGGCUGGGAAGGCCGGGAGUCGGUGGCUGGGAACAUCAGGGAGAACCAGUGUAAUGGUCUCACACUAGGUGUCGCAGAAGACAUGUCUUGAUUGUUUCUGGAUAUGUGAAGUUGGAGACGUUUGUCAGAUGUCAAAUGAACAAGUUAGAACCUUGAGUCUGGGACACAUGGGAAGCAUCUGGGCUUGUGAUAUAAAUUGGGAGUCAGCAGCACACGGAUAUUUAAUGCUGAGGUAAUGGAUGAGAUCAUGGAGCAAGAGGACUCAAGAGAGAAAAAAAAUGGCCCAGGACCAGUCCAGAGGAAUAUAGCAAGAGGUACUGACAAAGGAUUCAGAGGAGGAGUGGCCAGAAAAGCUGUCAGGAUACCAGGAAGGCACCAGAAACCAGAGGAAAAAUUUUCCAGAGCACGGUCACUCUGUCAAAUAUUGCUGGAAGACAGAUAAGUCAAAGGUAGCCAAGAUUACUGAAUUUGGUAACAUAAAAGUCAUUGGCACCUAUACACAAUGAAUUUGGUGGGUUAAUAAGCCAAUAGGAAUAGCUCUUCCUCCUCUGCUGAGAAAGUACCAACCCUGCACCAAUUCCCUACUCUUCCAACUGGGGUUCCAGUUUAGUCUGUCACUUCUUAGCUCCUUUCUUUGAACUGUUUCCUUAUCUGUCAAAUUAAGAUGGUAAAUUUUACUUCCUAGAAGUAAUGCAGGGAACUGAUGAAUGAUAAAUGGCAAUGGCAAUAAUAAUCAUCAUUACUAGGCUGGGCAAGUGCUCAGUGGUAGAGAGAUUGUCUACCAUUUAUAAGGUUCUGGGUUGCUUCCAUACCACCAUAAAAACAAACAAAAAUCACUACUAUAAUCCAAAUGCCACUACCUACAAUUGUUGGAAUAUUCUUUCUCAGAUAUGCCAUGAUCAUCUGCCUGAUUCUGCUGUCACUGCCACUCUCAUUGUAAGCUACAAUCACCUCUUACCUGGCCCCUGAAUUGGCACCAAACCCUGUCAACUCUUGCUUUCUGCCAGCCCUGAUGACAUCACUUCCCUAAUUAAACCCCUCUGAUGUCUUCCCAGUGCUCUGAGGAUACAGUGUCCUCACUUGAUGGAUAAGGUCCUUGGGUGAUGGGCCCUAGGUCCCUCUCCAGAGUUAGCUCACACCCUUUCCUCUUCCUCUUUCAGUUCUUCAAGUGUGCCAGGAUGCUGUGCCCCUUCCUAUGACAGGGCCUUUGCACAAGUUGUUCUGUGUGGUGACCGACCUAGACAAGAGUAUUUGUGGUGGAGUAGGCAGCACCCUUCCUUCCUUUUCCCCUAGUUUUCUCCUGAGCUUUUAGCUUAACAUUGUUUCCUCAGGGAAACCUUCCUGACCUUCCAGAACAGGUCAGGUCCCCCCAAAUUUUUGGGCCUCAUUAUACCAUAUGCUUUUUCUCCAGACAAUAACUUUUCUUGGUAAUUUUAUAUUUCUUUGAAGAAUCAUUUGAUGUUUCUGCUUCUACUAAGCAGGGGUCUUUGGGCCUUAUGGAAGGCAGAAAUAAAGGAACACAUUAAUUCAUCAAGCUCCAACAAUGAUCCUGGAAGAGAGGCAAUGACAUCCUUUACUAAAAGAGAAGAAAACUGGAUCCAACAGAAAAAGAACCAGGAUCCACACUUAGGAAGCACAGGAGCCUCUCCCUGAAGCCUACACCAUGCUGUGCCUAUCACCUGAAAUGGUCAAUGUAGCUGAAUCUCUGCCAUAAUCCCUGUACUUGGCGACGGCUGUGCUGCAGUGCUGGUCAUGGCUGGGCUGUCUGUCACUCUCUGAGCUCAUCAUCAGUCCCAGGUGGAACUGAAUCCACACACCUAGACCUCUGACUCCUGCCUGGAGACUUCUACUGCUACUUGACAAAGACUGGGCGGUCUCUGCACAUGGAUGUGACUCAGCUCAAGCCAGGUUCUCUACAACUGGCAUCAGAUUCACAGCCUCAGCCUCCUCUCCUACCCCACCAGCCUGAGGUGAUACUGACCAUGAGCCACAUUGUUGAUGCAAUCGAUGUAUUCUCCCCCUUGUUCAUCAUACAGGUACUGCCCUUGGCCACGGACAAUCUUAACUGGAUCCUCAGGGAAAAAAAGUCUGCAGGAAGAGCUGUGGGGACAGACCAGAGGUGGACAGCCAUGUCUGAAGACCUGAAGGGACCACCUACCUCCUCACCUCUUCCUGGUUUCUGGAAAGAACAAAAACUUUAAGGACAAAGUGCUCUUUCCUUGCUGCCAGGCUCCACGUUCCAUAGUGAAGAAGGAAAAGGAUGGGGCAGGAAGUUGCUAAGACUUAAAAUUGUUUAAGUCAUAUUAAGCCUCAGUGGCCUUGCUCAUUUCCCUGUGUGCCCACAUCAGUUGCUUAGAUCCUGGGAAAAGGAAGCUGCCCUAGUCAGACCCACUGGGACCCUGUAUGGCUGUAUAAGGAAUGGCACCCUUAGGUAGCUGUGUCUCAGCCCUAAAGAUUCCUUGCCAGUUAAGUGGCCCUGUUGCCCCAGAUGUGUGCUAGUCUUGAGCUCUGGCUGGAGGAUGCCUUCUCCUCCCCUGCCAUGUCCCACUGAGGGCCCCUCUCCCAGGUCAAGUGCAUACUUCCUCUAACGCUGUGAAGGACUCCCCACCCCACCCUCCGUCUGAACUUUCAGCCCUCCGAGGAUCACUCUCCAGUGGGCGAGGUCCGCCCAGAUGCUAGGGCAAAGGCUGUCUCCCCAGGCGCCCGUGGCGAGAGCUGCGGGGCGGGUGACAUCGGUUCCCGAGCCUCAGGGUGGGCCCAGGAGCCAGCGGGAAGCCGCUGCGAGGAAGCAGCUGCGGGAACCGCCUGCCCAGGGCUGCAGAGCUUCCGAACACGCGGGGUUGCGGCCCGGAAAAGGCCGUGAGGGGAUGGGAAGUCGCGGGCUCUGUGCCGGAGGCGCGUGCACGUCGUGCGUGCGUGCGUCGUGCGUGCGCGCGCCUAGGUACCUGAGGAGCCGCUGCCGCAGGGACAGAGUGUCGGCCUUGGCGCGCUGAUCCGUGGCCAUGGCGCUGCGCUGUCAGUCGGUGCAGAGACGCUGCGCCGAGAGACUGGGCCAAGCGCGCUUGGAAUCUAGGGCCCCGCCCCGGCCCCGCCCAUUACUCCCCCGAGACUUUGGCCUCAAGUUUGCAUCUCAGGCCCCGCCCCCAAGUGGCCCACUUCGCUUUAGUUCUUUCAUUUUGGCAAACGAGCUUCGCAGGCUUCCGGCUAGCGAGUCAUUCCUUGUCCUUCUCCCGCCAGGCCGGGUUUGCGUCCGCCCUUCCGAGUGCUGUCCUGGCUUUGGUUCCGGGACGCGCUUUUGGCGUACCCGCUUCACAUACCCGUGCCGUUGUCUCCCCUUGCCCGGAAGAAGUGUCCCCAGGUGAUCCCGCCGCUGCUCCCAGCGCCCGAUUGAGCAGCACUCAACCCUGGCAGGCUACGCUUGGACGAGUUGCCGUCUCCGUGCAUAAAAAAUGAUGCAGUGUGAGGAUUAAAUGAAAAAUGUGCAAAUGAUAUCCACCUGGGGCCUGGUAUGCACCAGGGGCGGCAGAGUAGAAGACAGGCCUCUCCAGCUCCUGCAGGAGCAGCAGGAAAGUAGGGCACAAGGGGCAUUACUGGGGCUAACUAAGUGCUGGACCUGAUUCCUGCUGGAGUCCAGGCGGGGUGAAUUUGAGAGGAUUCAGUGUUUAGACUGGAAGAGAGUUGGGAAGUCUCCCGAGCUGUGUUAUAUUGUCCAGGAAACUGAGACCCAGGAAGGGAAAGGCCUUUGCUAAAGGCUUGACUCCAGUUUCAGGGAGUGAGAAGAAAAGAUCUCAAGGGAUUGGAAGCCUGGAGAGCAGAGAGGUUCUUCCUCUUCCUGGGGGCACGAAGACUUCCUGCCUUGAACCUUAGAACAAGGAAGAACUUGGGACUGCCUCCUGAGGACGCUGGGAAGGAAGGCUUACACUUACCCUUGCUGGUGUGUAUCUAUCUUCUCAUGAUUCCCAGCUCUCUGCUUGGCUUCCUGAUUGCUGAUUUCUUCUUUUCCUCAUAAAAUUGUAGACUGCUUAAGGCAUUUAUUAAAGAACAUUCUUAUAUUCUUUUA